AAAUUACAUAGAAAGAUUUACUUAAGUCUUACUUAAGUGGCUCAAAAAACAAGAUAAAGUUCAGCUUAUUGCAUUUGAUGUAAAUGGAAACUGUAAUAUAUUUUCAUUUAAUUGCAAUUAACAUGCAAUUAACUGUCCAAAAACAUUACAUUCAGUUUGCACCUAAGUGCACUCAUUCCCAUAAUAAGUACUCUUUUUGUAGGCUUAGGUGUUUUUCACUAAAAGGAGGUUUUUUUGGGGGGUGUGGGGGGGGUGGUAUUCCAUUAAUAAACACAUAUACAAGUGAGACUGGUGAAAUGAGGAGGAAGAGAGGUGUUUUUCUUGGACUCCAAACAAUUAUUGUUUUCACAAUUGCAGUCAGCAGGGCAUUAGUGUUUGAGAUGGAGAAAUCAGAUCACUCGAUCCAGCAGUUCAUCGUGUGCUCACUUAGUGGCUCCCUUUCUACUUUCUCUCCCUAAACUGUCUCAACCAUAUGGAUUUGAGGACAAAUACAUUAAGUUUAUGCUAAUUACAACAGCCAUGUGCAGACAAAGGACUGCAAAGGUGUACCUGUACCAUGAUAAAGAGACUGUGAAUGCCAUGGCACAAAUAUGAAAAACCGGAUGCGGGGAGGGUGGGCAUGUGAGUGUGUUUGUGUCUGCGUUUGUUCCAUCAGAGGAGAAUGUGACAUUUGAAGGAUGAGAGACCCUUUUCAUACUGGAAACUGGAAACUUAGAAGCCGUUUUCAUUUCAUUUAUGCACUUCACAGGGAACAGAGAGGCAGAGAGACAGAGCAGCAAAGAAGAAGUUUGGAAGGGAGACAGACAGGGAAGUCAGAUAGCAAAAAGUGGAGAACAUAAACAGAAAGAACAUAAAUAAAGGUGGGUGAAGGGCAGACAAGAUGCAUUAUUGCCAUUCUCAGUACCAUACAGUGUCCUGUUUAUUAAUCAGUAGCGCUGCUGUUACUCCCCAGUACUUGAGAUAAGAAUUAAAAUGGCAUUUUAAGGUGGCAUGUCACACCAAAAACUUCCCAGCAUCCCUUCUGCUAGCAAAUAAUGACGCAUCAUUCUGCUGACAGAAGUCAGCUGAUUGCUGUGUCACGGCAAUGGUUUUAGGCGAGUGGCAGCACUCCGGCUACAGACGUAGAGUCUUUUUUUUUCCUCCCAGACGCACUGCGGCACAGCCAGACGACUAGAGUGGAGGCACAGGAGCUCACAGCUGCAGUCUACUGGCUUGUUUCGGGGAGGCAGAGGAGCCGAGCACUUCCUCUCAAAAUACCGUCGCUCUGCUUCUUUUUGCCGUUGAGGGAUCAUUUUCAUUGGGGCAGAGAGUAGAGCCAAGAAAGAAGACAAACUCUGAGUCGAUCAACUUGGAAUUAACGUUGGUCUCAUUUGUAGACAGAGAAUUUGGAGAAGCGAGCCUGGAUCUUAAUUUUUUGGGGGCUGCUGACGCCAUCGUUUGCAAGCACCAGACCAGAUUCCCAGGCUGAGAAAUCGAUGCUAAAAGCUUGGAUUCCAGUCCGUCACCUGUCCGUCCCAUCAUAAACCUGUCCCACACGAGACGUCCAGUCAGCCGGGCCCGUCUGCAUUUCCAUUCGCGGCAACCAGCCAAAGUGGCUGCUCCGCUCCAAGGUUAAGGUGGCUUUCAGUCCUAGACUUAGUCCUUGUCCAGAGGUCAGGGCAGAGGCGAACAGAAACAGCGAUGCGGCAGCUGAGCCGAGCUCAGCCAGACAGACGCGUUGACCUAAAUCAGCCCCAGUCAUGUCUGGACGCAGCCAGAGCAAGGCAGACGGAGAGGAAGACAGAGCGAGAGAGAGAGGGAGAGAGCGACCCACACGUAUCGACUUGAACAUAUACUCGCACUACGGGAUGGAGAGAAAUGAAGGAGGCUGUAAGGGGAGGGGGAGACAGAGUUGUCUCUCUCUCCCUCUCUUGCUCUUUUUUCGCCACCGCUUUAUUUUGUUCCAUUAGCUGGUGUUCAUAUUCACCGUAUAUCUGCGCUGAUCUCCACCAUUGCUGCACAGCGAAAUUGCUGCAGAGUCGUUGUCCCCCUCACCUCCCCCGUUUUCACUUUUGGGUCCAGUAAACGGCCGGAUAAAAGGCGGGCUGAAGUGAGUUGGUCAGACAGGCCUUGCCAAACCCACAGGCUGUUCUGCUGCUUUGCUACCGCUGUGGUGUUUUGAUGUGCGCUACUGUGCAGAUGCAGUUUUUGGGCGAUCACCAACAAGCUACCGUACAGGAGGAGACUCUGGGAUAGUAAGGGAUAUCUUUCAAGUAAGAAAAUCCUGCUCCAGUGUGCCACAAGUCAUGGGGGAAGACAGGGCUUUGGAAGAAGAAAGCAAACCUUUGUGUUUUUCUGUCCAUGGAGAAUAACGUGACAGAAGACAGGACCUAGAAGAUAAAUAGUAAGCGGUGCCUUUUCCCUGCAUUUUUUUUUUUUUUGUUAUUUUAUUAUUUUUUUAUUUUUUUUUUUUGUCUUUUUUGUUAUGGAUUGGGCGGAGAGCCACUUUCUAGUUUCGUUUCACCUAGAUUUGCCCGUCUUGGCGUCACGUCCCCGUAAAAUGACAAAUUACCCUCACCCCGUGGACCUCCAAGACACCACUGGACUGAACUGGAGGGAGGUCAUGUUUCGGUGUCUGGAGAGUGUCCUAUCUGUCUGUCCAUCCCAAACUGUCUAUCUGUCCUGAAAUUACCAUGGAGGCCAUUCCCCUGUCACUGACGCUCCCGGUGCUGGGAGUGGCCUUGUGGUGUGAGUGUGUGUGUGUGUGGGCAGCACACACCGUUCCUGAACAUUCGGAACUCCUGCCCAGCCCCCCUUUCCCACCUCCUCUAUAUCAGUCUUCACCAUUGCCACUGCUGUCUCCUGGUGGCCCCUCAGCUCACCCUCAGCCCACAAUCUGUGUAGUGGGAUCGCCACGGGUCUGCCAGUCUCCAUCGGCGUCAUGGCUGGAAGAUCCCUUGUCUCCGCCUCUGAGUCCCAGACUCCACCUCGGCCCUUCGACCCAGCUGCUCCACCAUGGCUCCUAGCUCCCUCCUCUCCACCAUGGCCCAUCAGUCUACCGGCUCUGUCUUGGUCUAUCGUCAACCAUAUGUGGCCUCGGGACUCCACUCCUCUGGCUACACCACUUCCCUCUGUCCCACUGGCUCUGUCAGACUCCUUCCCUCCUGCUACACCUUGGUCCUCUGUCGCUCUGGCUCUACCUCGUCCUUCCGGAUCCCUACCUUUUCCUCAGUUACCGGAGCCAUCUGCUCUGCCUUGGCCCUCCGGAUCCUACCCGUCGCCCUGGCUCUCUGUCUCCACCUCGGGCUCUGACACUGUUGGUCGGCCCCCUGGAGUCGUCAGCCUUUCCUCCACCAUGGCUCCUCCCUCCGUUGGCUCCACUGUGGGUCGCCAUCAUGGCUGUGAUCUGGGUCCUGCCUGGCUCCUCUGGCUCCCUUCUGUCUUCUCCCUGGCUCCUCCCUCCAUCGGAUCCACCCUUGUCCCGUCUGUCUUCUCCCUGGCUCCUCCCUCCAUCGGAUCCACCCUUGUCCCCUCUGUCUCCUCCCUGGCUCAUCCCUCCAUCUGGUCUGCCCUGGACUCUGUUGGUCGUCCACCUCCCAGUUAUCCGGCCACCUCCUGAACCACCUCCUGUCUGUCUUCCUGCAGGCCCUUUGCCAUCCCCUGUCACCAUCCCACAUCCACUCCUUUAUUCUCCUCCUAAGUCCCCCUCUGUCCCUCCCUUUAUCUCUGUGGUACGAGGUCGCGCCUUUGGAGAGGGGGGUGAACUUUCACAUCUCAUGGACCUGUUUUGUGUUUUCUUCCCCCAUGUGCUCUGUUUGACCUAGUUUCCAUCUCUGAUAGAUUAUAUCAUUUGGUUCAGGUGUGUCUGGUUAAUUAUCCUAAUUUGCUCGACUAUAUUAGCUGUGUUUUGUUUUGUUUGUUGUCUGGUCCCUACGUGUGUCUCCUGCCUGUUCUGUCCUAUAUUUACCCUUGUGUGGAUUUAUUAAAGACUAUUUGCAUUCAUCUUCAUCUUCUUUGUGUUUUUCACCAUAGCAUGACAGUGCAGCUUAAUAUUUUUGUGGAACCAUUAUUUAUUUUAUUAUUAUUUUUUUUUUUUUCCGGAAUUCUUUGAAAAGAAAGUUCAAACUGCAUUUAUUUAAAACAGUAUAUGUAUUUACUGCCACUUUUCAAUUUAAUGCGUCCUUCCUGAAUAAAGAUAUAAAAAAAUUACAAAUAAUAAACAUUUUACUGACUCCAUACUUUUGAACAGUAGUAUACGUUUUAAUAAAUAUAAGUAAAAAUUAGAAUCUAAUUUGCAUAACUAAACAGUAGCAUUUCCUUUAAUAUUAAAAAAAUAAAAAAUAUUCUGCUGUACUGUCGCUGAUAAAUGCAGUUACUAAUUUUAGUUAGUUACUUCCCAAAACAAUUUGCUAAUAUAAACUGUUGAACAGCAUAGCUAGCUGGAGAGGUAUAGAGACACUUCAAUCACAGCUCUGAACAGAAUAAAAUUCUGUGCAAUUUACAUCAAAGUCUAUGUGAAAGAGCCCAUUGUCACUGUGGAAUAGGUAAAUACGAUAUGUGCCUGAACAUUCCCUAUGCUGGUGUAUUUUUCCUUAACACCAAGUCCCUCUCUUACACUCAUCAUAACCCUACGUGUCACAUCCUGCCAGAGGAUUUAAAGACGUCUUGCAAUUUUCAAUAAUGUUCUGCAGGUCCUAAAAGAGCUCAAUAACUCCAGGCCUACAGAGGCCACUGAAUCAGCAUUUCAAAGUGAAACUCUUUUCCACAAAGACCUUUGAAUUGAAAUAGAAAAGUUUCUCCUUCCCAGCCGUAUGGGCUCAACUCUGAUUGACCCCUCUCAAUCUGUGCCUCUCUGUUGUAAAGAACAGGCAUAAAAUAAGGCAGAGUUAAUAGAGUUUAAGACUAAGAGCCAAACCGCAUUGGAAUAGGAAGGAGAUGGAAAGAGUCAAGGGAGGGAGAGUGACUGAGGCAGAGAGAGAUUGAGCAAAGGAAGGAGAGAGAGAGAUCCAUAAGGGAGGGGGAUUGGGUCCGGGUUGCCUGAGGAGAUUAUCGCCUCUAAUUGGUCGAAUGCCUCCACUCGGCAUUCCCACAAUGCCUUGUGUUUCAGUGACUUUCUCUGAACUCUCAAGAGACUCUUCAAGGUUACCGUCACUCUUCAGCGUUAUCACUGCACUCUAAGCCACUGUAGAAAAUCUGCUUUUAGCAUAGCCAUGAUGGACUGUUGAGAAUAGCUGAUUAUUCAAAACCGGAAUGGCUGAUCAUUCACCUCAAACGCACAAAUACAGCUUUUCAUCAACUUUUGUGAUAAACUUCACUCAGUACCACAAUAAAACAGGCACUGGGUGAAUAUAAAAUCAGAUUACAGUAAAAUAUUGAUGGUGAACAAUAACUAGAUUUUCUUAUGUAUAUGUUUGUUUUUACAGCAGUCAGUGUCGUGCUGACUGAAUUCUGUUUGUGUUAAUCUUGCCGUCUUCCUCUCAAACAGAUUGUUGUGUGUAUGAAAUAAAGAGGAUGUAAUGAAAAGCAUGCCCUUGAAUCCGAAAGCCAUCGAGGUUUCUUUUCACUUCCACUCCUGCAGAGAUCUGCCUUUUGCUUUUCUUCCAACAUUGCUAAAUUUAAACGAAUAAGCGCUUGUGUGUAUCAAAGUGGAAUCAAAUAAAGAAAUCAUCUCUGCUUU